CCCUAUGGGGCGCAGCAGGCAAUCCGAAGAGAUUAUUGAUUACUUGAAAAACAAGCAAAACAUGCAACAAAUUAUCUGCGGAGAUUUUAACCUGCUACCGCUUACGCAGAGCGUGACGAUGCUUGAAGACCUUGGCUACCGUAAUUUGAUAAAGGAUUAUUGUAUCUCAAGUACUCGAAAUGAGCUUGCCUGGGCCAGGCACCCAGACGGCGGACAACUUUUUGCCGAUUAUACAUUUAUAUCUGAUUUGAUAAGAGUAAAUGAGUUUAGGGUGCCAAAUCUACUAAUAUCCGACCAUUUGCCGAUGUUUGUGGAUUUUGAUAUUUAAAAAGCAAAAAACCACCCUGUACAGGUAGCUUGGUCUGGCUCGGCUUACAGGUCACGGAACAAUCACAGGGGUGGGGCACGCGAUGAGACAAAUGAGACACAAAACGCAUGUUUUAGAGC
rnacentral:rRNA from 1 species